GACGAACGCUGGCGGCGUGCUUAACACAUGCAAGUCGAGCGGAAAGGCCUCUUUGGGGGUACUCGAGCGGCGAACGGGUGAGUAACACGUGAGUAACCUGCCCCAGUCUUUGGGAUAACCCUCGGAAACGGGGGCUAAUACCGGAUAUGAUCACUGGUCGCAUGAUCGGUGGUGGAAAGUUUUUUCGGUCUGGGAUGGGCUCGCGGCCUAUCAGCUUGUUGGUGGGGUGAUGGCCUACCAAGGCGACGACGGGUAGCCGGCCUGAGAGGACGACCGGCCACACUGGGACUGAGACACGGCCCAGACUCCUACGGGAGGCAGCAGUGGGGAAUAUUGCACAAUGGGCGGAAGCCUGAUGCAGCGACGCCGCGUGAGGGAUGACGGCCUUCGGGUUGUAAACCUCUUUCAGCUCCGACGAAGCGAUGAGUGACGGUAGGGGCAGAAGAAGCGCCGGCCAACUACGUGCCAGCAGCCGCGGUAAGACGUAGGGCGCGAGCGUUGUCCGGAUUUAUUGGGCGUAAAGAGCUCGUAGGCGGCUUGUCGCGUCGACUGUGAAAACCCGCGGCUCAACUGCGGGCCUGCAGCCGAUACGGGCAGGCUAGAGUUCGGUAGGGGAGACUGGAAUUCCUGGUGUAGCGGUGAAAUGCGCAGAUAUCAGGAGGAACACCGGUGGCGAAGGCGGGUCUCUGGGCCGAUACUGACGCUGAGGAGCGAAAGCGUGGGGGAGCGAACAGGAU
rnacentral:rRNA from 1 species